rnacentral:rRNA from 1 species
AUUUAAAAUUUAUUUAAAAUUAUUAGAAUUAGUUUAAAAGUAAAUAAAGUAGUAGAAUUAUUAAAGUUUUAGUAAUAUUAAGAAAAAAUAUUUUAUAAAUAAUUAAAAUUGUAAAAGAAUUAAUAAAAUUUUUAAAAGAAAAUUUAAUUUAUUGUACCUUUUGUAUCAGGGGUUAUUUAAUUUAAAUAUAAAAAUUUAUAUAUCUCGAAUUAAAAAGAGCUAAUUUAAAAAUAUAGUUAAUGUUUAAUAAUUAUUAUAAAUUUUAAAUUAGAAAUGAAAUGUUAAGCGAUUUUUAAGAUAUCUAGUUUUUUAAUAUAAAAAUUUAAUUUUUUUAUAAUUAUAAAUUAUUAAUAAAUUAAAAUAAAUAAUUGUAUUAUGAAAAAUUAUUUAUGGGAUAAUCUAUAAAUUUAUUUUAAAUAAGUUUAAAAUUUUUAUUAAAAAUUUAGAAAUUGAAAUUUUUAAAAUUAUUGAGUUUUUAAUAAUUAAUUAAUUAAUAAAUUAAAUUUUAAAAUUUAUUAAUUUAAUAUUAAAAUAGAAGAUUAAAAUUAUAAAAAAAUUAAAAUAAUGAUAAUAUAAGUAUAAAUUAAUGUUUAAAUUGAUUAAUUCAAUAAAUUAAUUUAAGGAAUUAGGCAAAAAUUAAAAUUCACUUGUUUAACAAAAACAUGUUUUUUUGAAAUUAAUAUAAAAUUUUCUCUGCCCAAUGAAAAUUUAAAUGGCCGCAGUAUUUUGACUGUGCAAAGGUAGCAUAAUAAAUAGUUUUUUAAAUGAAGACUAGAAUGAAUGAGAGGAUGAAAUUUUAACUGUCUCAAAUUAAAAAUUAUAAAUUUAUUUUAAGUUAAAAUUCUUAAAUAAAUUUAAGGGACGAGAAGACCCUAUAGAAUUUAAAAAUUUUGUAUUAAUUUUAUUUAUAAAAUUAAAAUUUAUUGAUAAAAAAUUUUUUUAUUGGGAAGAUAUUAAAAUUUAAUUAACUUUUAAUUUUAAAAUUCAAUAAUUAAUGAAUUUAUAAAAUUAUUAUUUAAAAUAAGAUAAAAUUACCUUAGGGAUAACAGCGUAAUAAAUUUUUAAAGUUCAAAUUAAAAAAUUUGAUUGCGACCUCGAUGUUGAAUUAAAAUAAAAUUUAAGUGAAGAAGC